rnacentral:rRNA from 1 species
AUUGAACGCUGGCGGCAGGCCUAACACAUGCAAGUCGAGCGGUAGAGAGGUGCUUGCAUCUCUUGAGAGCGGCGGACGGGUGAGUAAUGCCUAGGAAUCUGCCUAGUGGUGGGGGAUAACGUUCGGAAACGGACGCUAAUACCGCAUAUGUCCUACGGGAGAAAGCGGGGGAUCUUCGGACCCCGCGCCAUUAGAUGAGCCUAGGUCGGAUUAGCUAGUUGGUGAGGUAAUGGCUCACCAAGGCGACGAUCCGUAACUGGUCUGAGAGGAUGAUCAGUCACACUGGAACUGAGACACGGUCCAGACUCCUACGGAGGCAGCAGUGGGGAAUAUUGGACAAUGGGCGAAAGCCUGAUCCAGCCAUGCCGCGUGUGUGAAGAAGGUCUUCGGAUUGUAAAGCACUUAAGUUGGGAGAAGGGUAGUAACCUAAUACGUUGCUACUUUGACGUUACCGACAGAAUAAGCACCGGACUAACUUCGUGCCAGCAG